AUUGUCUAGUACGCUUCACAUGAAAAGUUUAGCUCUCUAACUGCUCUCUCGUUUAAUGUAAAAGAGUCACAAUCACCCUGUUAUAGAUUAAGUUUGUAUCCCUCCAGAGCUCAUGCCCUUGAAGGCCUGCCUCCCCACAUCAUGGUGCUGGAUGGGCAUGAAGCCUUUGGGAUACAAAGCUGUUUAGGUGAGGUCGUGGGGGUGGAGCCCUGUGAUGCCGUCGGGGUUCUCAUAAAAUGAAGACACCAAAGAGCUUUCUCUACUUGAAGGUUGGGACACAGCCAAAUGGCGGCUGUCCUGAAGCCAGGAUGAGGGUCAGUACCAGGAAACUCGUCUGCAGGCACUUAAUCCCCAGAGUCCCCAGCUUCAGGACCCAAAGGACCAAACACUCCCUCUGUCACCCAGUCUGACAUUGUGUCACAUCCUGCAGCCUGAGCAGACCUAACACACCGAGGAAGGAAGGUAUAGGUGGCUCCUGAGGGGUGACCGUAGUUCUGAGGGAUAAUCUGAUUUACAUUUUUUUUUCAGCUUCAAAGUUGUGUGAAAGCUACACGGAUCUCAUACAAACUACAGGUUGAGCUUUGAUCAUCUCUGAGCCUGGCCCCAUGACGAGUGAUCUUUCCUAAUGCUGGGUAGCAGGGGCACAAGCUACAGUCAUAGCUCAGCCCCAGGAUUCCAAGAAGGGAAAACCAAAUGUUCGCCCGUGUUCCACAGCACCCAGCCUGGACGCCAGGUUGGUGAAGUGUAUUAAGUGCAUCUUUUGACUUCAUGCUAUUUUCAACCUUAAGCCUGUCCACUAAAAAUACUGAGAAACAAACAAACAAACAAACAAACAACCCACCCAGGGACCACGAGCACUAAGCAUUUGCUACUAAGAAGAAUCAGGGGUCCUUAGUGACAUGGCUCUUUCCAGAUCCAGAACAGACCACAGAAGCUGGGAGUUUCCUCGUUGUUUGGAUGACAGCAAAGAUGAAUGAGGUUACAUCAGAAGGAAUCAACUGGCUAGACAUGGUAAAAACUCAUGCGUCAAUAAAAAAAAAAUCAGUAAAAUAGAUCAUAAAAC